AGAAGUUUGGUGUUGUAUAUGAUGGAAGAGUAGAGACUGAAGAAUGCAAAUCUCUUCAGCUUCGCCGUUUGUCUAUUCAAACAGCUAAUGGGGAGCUUGAAUCAUUUAGCAAUAUGACACAACUUCGUUCACUGUUUGUAUUUGUGAAAAGUUCUGUGCCUUUCUCUAAUACAUUGGUAUCAAAGUUCAAAUUAUUGAGAGCUUUGGAUUUGGAAAAUGCUGCAAUUGAUAUAUUGCCAGAAGGGCUGGGGACUCUGUUCAACUUAAGGUACUUGAACUUG
rnacentral:misc_RNA from 1 species